rnacentral:rRNA from 1 species
AGCGAACGCUGGCGGCAGGCUUAACACAUGCAAGUCGAGCGGGCCCUUCGGGGUCAGCGGCAGACGGGUGAGUAACGCGUGGGAACGUGCCCUUCGGUUCGGAAUAACUCAGGGAAACUUGAGCUAAUACCGGAUACGCCCUUAUGGGGAAAGGCUUGCUGCCGAAGGAUCGGCCCGCGUCUGAUUAGCUAGUUGGUGAGGUUAUGGCUCACCAAGGCGACGAUCAGUAGCUGGUCUGAGAGGAUGAUCAGCCACACUGGGACUGAGACACGGCCCAGACUCCUACGGGAGGCAGCAGUGGGGAAUAUUGGACAAUGGGGGCAACCCUGAUCCAGCCAUGCCGCGUGAGUGAUGACGGCCUUAGGGUUGUAAAGCUCUUUUCUCCGGGACGAUAAUGACGGUACCGGAGGAAUAAGCCCCGGCUAACUUCGU